AUACGAAGGGGGCAAGCGUUGUUCGGAAUAACUGGGCGUAAAGCGCACGUAGGCGGAAUGUUAAGUUAGAGGUGAAAUCCCAGGGCUCAACCCUGGAACGGCCUUUAAUACUGGCAAUCUAGAGACCGAGAGAGGUGAGUGGAAUUCCGAGUGUAGAGGUGAAAUUCGUAGAUAUUCGGAGGAACACCAGUGGCGAAGGCGGCUCACUGGCUCGGUACUGACGCUGAGGUGCGAAAGCGUGGGGAGCAAACAGGAUUAGAAACCCCAGUAGUCC
rnacentral:rRNA from 1 species